UGUCAGCAGCAGCAGAAGGCAUGAGAUUCAGCUUGGCCACGUGCUCACUCCUGAGUCUACUGCUUUGAGCAGGGGACCACAGUGAACUGACUGACUUAGACUCUGGGAACUGCAGCUACAGGUAGAGGCCGAACUCCUGCCCGUGGAACUAGAGCAUUCUGAAAAGGUGGAGCAGGGAAGUAGACAAAUCACCAAGCACAGAUAAUACAGGCAGUGAUUCUCUGCAGAAGCAUUUUUCCUUUUAAAUGAA
rnacentral:lncRNA from 13 species